UGGUGAUGGGGGAGCUCCCUGCUCCCUGCUCCCUGCUUCUCAGGCCCCACCCCUCCUCCUUGUUCUUGCUCUUCUCAGCAAGCCUUUUGGUGCCUGGUGCAGAUCUGCGACAAGUACCUCCCAGGUUACUACAGUGCAGGGCUGGUGAGUGUCUGGAGGCUGGGUGCAUCCGGGGCUGUGGCGUUUCCUCCAGGCUGCAGGCAGGUCCUUGCCUUGCCCCACCCUGGCCUUCCCGGCCUCUGCCCACAGGGCCGGCCAGUUCUCCCCUGAUGGGGGCACAGCUGACUUGGCCCUCUUUUCAUGGCUUGUCCCACCUGCAGGAGGCCAUUCAGCUGGACGGGGAGAUCUUUUUUGCACUCCUGCGCCGGGCCUCCCCGCUGGCGCAUCGCCACCUGCGGCGGCAGCGCAUUGACCCUGUGCUCUACAUGACGGAGUGGUUCAUGUGCAUCUUCGCCCGCACCCUGCCCUGGGCGUCGGUGCUGCGUGUCUGGGACAUGUUUUUCUGUGAAGGUACUUCUGUGGCCCUCCAGGCAUGAGGGGCUGGGGUUUCUGUGGUGGCUACCAGGGGUUCUGUCAUAUUUCUGGUGGUCCAUGGACAAAAGGUACUUGUUGGGUGGAGGUUUCACCAUAAGCAGCUGGGGGCUGGAGAAACAGGCCUGAUUUUAGUUCUGCCACCAACCCAGAGCCUGCUCUCCCUGCCAAGAUCCUGAGACUGAUAGCAGCUCAUGUCCUUUCACAGGGCCUCAGUUUCCUCAUCUGAGAUUGGCAGUAGAUGGGGAUGGGGGCUGUGAGUCUAUCCUGAUCAGGACAGGCUGAGAUCUUGGGUCUGACCACCCCAUGCUCUCUACUCUCCACCCCUGCAGGCGUUAAGAUCAUCUUCCGGGUGGCCCUGGUCCUGCUGCGCCACACGCUGGGCUCGGUGGAGAAGCUGCGCUCCUGCCAAGGCAUGUAUGAGACCAUGGAGCAGCUGCGUAACCUGCCCCAGCAAUGCAUGCAGGAAGACUUCCUGGUGCAUGAGGUGACCAAUCUGCCGGUGACAGAAGCACUGAUUGAGCGGGAGAAUGCAGCCCAGCUCAAGAAGUGGCGGGAAACGCGGGGGGAGCUGCAGUAUCGGCCCUCACGGCGACUGCAUGGGUCCCGGGCCAUCCACGAGGAGCGCCGGCGGCAACAGCCACCCCUGGGCCCCUCCUCCAGCCUCCUCAGCCUCCCUGGCCUCAAGAGCCGAGGCUCCCGGGCAGCUGGAGGGGCCCCGUCCCCGCCGCCCCCCAUCCGCAGAGCCAGUGCUGGGCCUGCCCCAGGGCCUGUGGUCACUGCUGAGGGACUGCAUCCAUCCCUUCCCUCACCCACUGGCAAUAGCACCCCCUUGGGUUCCAGCAAGGAGACCCGGAAGCAGGAGAAGGAGCGGCAGAAACAGGAGAAGGAGCGGCAGAAACAGGAGAAGGAGCGGGAGAAGGAGCGGCAGAAGCAGGAGAAAGAGCGAGAGAAGCAGGAAAAGGAGCGAGAGAAGCAGGAGAAGGAGCGGCAGAAGCAGGAGAAGAAGGCUCAAGGCCGGAAGCUUUCGCUGCGUCGAAAGGCAGAUGGGCCCCCAGGCCCCCAUGAUGGUGGGGACAGGCCCUCAGCCGAGGCCCGGCAGGACGCUUACUUCUGACCUCUGCCCUGGGGCUGGACUGCAUGGCCCCCCUCUUUCCCUCAGCCAAGAACAGGCCUGGCCCGAGGUACCACCCCCUAGCACCUUGUCAGGCUGUCCCUUGCUGGGGAAAGUGGCUUGGUUCCCCAUCUCCUCGCCAGCUGCUGAUCCCUACACGGGCAGGACAGAUGGGCAGCUGCAAAUGAGUCUGGAGCCUCUCAUCUCCCAUGAGGCUCAGCUGGGGGUCUCUGUCGCUCCUGCCCCAGUUCCCUCUGGGUCCCCUCCUAGGUGCUGUCCUGAAUGGCCUGUUGUCAUCCCAGGGGUGACUCCUGGUGAUGGGAGUCAGCAGUUUCAGAUUCUUACACUCCAUGGCUCCCCUUACCAUGAGGUGGAGCUGGCUUCCUUUUCCCUGUCUUCAGUCCUCCCUGUGUCCCCCACUUCCUGGCCAGGGCUCUCCUUCUGGACCUGUGUUGUAAUUGUGUACAGAGGAUGGCGUUGGCCUGGGGUGGGGGUGCUCGCUUUGUCUUCUGUCCUUUGGUUCUCCUUCCAUAAUGCUCCUGUACCCAGUUUAUUUAAGGGGACAUGCACUGGAAUAGGAAAUGUCCCCCAUCUCCCUUCCUGCACCCUGCUGUGCUCCCUCCAAACCCACCUUGCUCUGUGUUCUCAGGCCCCCCUGCUUUUGUCUCACCAGGACCCAUACCUUUCACCUUGUUCCCUUCCACCCCUCCAGUUAGUCCCUAUCUGGGUAAGGGUCUUCCCUUGAGCUCCAGGGGGUGGAACCCAAUGUUUACAUUCUCUUCUGUCUCUGCCCCCACCCCAUGCAGCGCUUUGAGGAAUCGGAAAAGAACCUGCUGUUGUACCUGG
rnacentral:sRNA from 1 species